rnacentral:rRNA from 1 species
CCUACGGGAGGCUGCAGUGGGGAAUAUUGCACAAUGGGGGAAACCCUGAUGCAGCGACGCCGCGUGAGCGAUGAAGUAUUUCGGUAUGUAAAGCUCUAUCAGCAGGGAAGAAAAUGACGGUACCUGACUAAGAAGCCCCGGCUAACUACGUGCCAGCAGCCGCGGUAAUACGUAGGGGGCAAGCGUUAUCCGGAUUUACUGGGUGUAAAGGGAGCGUAGACGGCUUGGCAAGCCAGAUGUGAAAGGCUGGGGGUCAACCCCAGGACUGCAUUUGGAACUGUCAUGCUAGAGUGUCGGAGAGGCAGGCGGAAUUCCUAGUGUAGCGGUGAAAUGCGUAGAUAUUAGGAGGAACACCAGUGGCGAAGGCGGCCUGCUGGACGAUGACUGACGUUGAGGCUCGAAAGCGUGGGGAGCAAACAGGAUUAGAUACCCCAGUAGUC